rnacentral:rRNA from 1 species
AGUGAACGCUGGCGGUAGGCCUAACACAUGCAAGUCGAACGGCAGCACAGUAAGAGCUUGCUCUUACGGGUGGCGAGUGGCGGACGGGUGAGGAAUACAUCGGAAUCUACUUUUUCGUGGGGGAUAACGUAGGGAAACUUACGCUAAUACCGCAUACGACCUACGGGUGAAAGCAGGUGAUCUUCGGACCUUGCGCGAUUGAAUGAGCCGAUGUCGGAUUAGCUAGUUGGCGGGGUAAAGGCCCACCACGGCGACGAUCCGUAGCUGGUCUGAGAGGAUGAUCAGCCACACUGGAACUGAGAAACGGUCCAGACUCCUACGGGAGGCAGCAGGGGGGAAUAUUGGACAAUGGGCGCAAGCCUGAUCCAGCCAUACCGCGUGGGUGAAGAAGGCCUUCGGGUUGUAAAGCCCUUUUGUUGGGAAAGAAAAGCAGCAGGUUAAUACCCCGCUGUUCUGACGGUACCCAAAGAAUAAGCACCGGCUAACUUCGU